UUUCUAGAAUAAAUAUAAAUCAAUUUUAAGUAAACAAAUUAUCACAGUAUACUUGUUUAGAAUUCUCAAGCAUUUUAUUAUCUUUUUCUUUAGAAACUUAAAUGAACACCAAUGCAUUUCUUCAUGUUAUAAUAAAUACAAAAUAUGUAGGAGAAAUACUAUGCCUGAAAACUUUUCUAAUAAUGUCCUGAAAACUCCCAGUACAAAUGUGACUUUAAUAAUCAAUGGAAACAAAUCCAUACUUAGCAUUCAGUCAUUGUGUAAAAAAAAAAUAAGUAUUUUUCCCUUUUCUUCUAGGUGAUGUUGAUUAAAGAAUACCAUGCAAUUUUUGAAGCAGAAAUUUUCACUCUGUGUUGAGUUGUUUUAAUGUCAUAAAACAAAAAUCUGCUAACUCAUUGAUCCAUAAGGUCAAACUGUGUGCUGCACUAAUUUCAAGUCUAUGGAAGUUGUAUGACCACCUCCAAUCAAGAAAGAGAACAUGCCCAGCAUCCCAGGAUCCCCCUCACUUCUUCUCCUUUCAUUCUCUCCACAUGAGCAGCCAGUAUUCUGGGUCAGGUCAUAUAGAUACCUGUGAGGACUUGCAUGGCUAGGCGAUAAAACAGGUUAGAAAUUUUAGCAUUCUAUAGGGUGUGUGCUGGUAUUCACUGUGGUUUCAAUUUGCAUGUGCUUAAAAAGAAUGGGACUGAAUCUUUUUCCACAUCACUAUCAGCCAUUUGGAUCUUCUCUCUGCAAAUAAUUUCCCAAGCCUUCUGCUCAUUUCACCAUUGGAUGCUUUCCUUCUCUUAUUUUUAAUAAUUUAUGUAUUGCAAUGUAAACACAAUGUCUUUGGUAGACCGAAUCAUCAUUUGGAUUUAAAAUUCCUAUAGAGCCCAAGCUAGACUCAGACUUGCUAUACUUCUGCCCCACACUCCUUACCC